UGUGUUUUUAUCCAUAUACCCUUUAUACAAGAUUCAUGUUUCCAGUUAUAUCUUCAAAUUCAAAUCUUUCCUAAAUUUACGGCUGUAAUUUGCACAAUCAAAUCCCUCUAUAUCUACAAAUCCACGAGAUAAAAGGAUUGAUUUGUUUGAUAACGACAAUCUAAUCCUCCAUGGCGCGUGAUGAAAGUUCAUCUCUUCUCAAACCUAAGUAUAGGCAUCGAAGACGAAAUAGGUUACGACGUUUAUGUCAACUUCCUCAAAAUUCAGAUUUUGUUUCUCCAUCGUAACAUCUAUAAUAUUCAAUUCCCAGUUAUUUUUAAAUUCAUUUAGAAGGAACAUACAAAGUGUUAGCAUUAAUGUCUCUCUUCUCUCUCAUUUCUUCUCUGUUUUUAGAACAAUCUAUCAUUCGAGUCUCAGAUAAUGAUGUUGCUUGAUCAUCCAAAUGUUCUUAAAAUCAAACCUCUCAUUUGUAAACGACCAUAACCUAUGGGUUGUUAUGCCUUUCAUGGCAGGUGAUUCUCGUCGUCAUAUGUUGCAGGCUUUCCUGAGGGUUUUAGGAAGUUAUUAUUGCCUUUGAGGUGUUCAGCAAAAUGUGAUAAUGAAUUUCUUUUUGGAAAUGAAGGUUCAUAUUUGGUUGUAUUAAUAAAA